rnacentral:snRNA from 1 species
AGUUGGUUAACUCUCUCCAUAU